GUGUGUCGGGAUCCGGGGUGGGUGCGACGUGUGUGUGGGUGCGGGUUGGGUGCGUGUGUGUGGGUACAACCUAGGGUAGAGAGAGUAGGAGGAGCUAGGGGAAAGAGAUGGGGUGCGGCGGUGGUCUAAGGCCGCUAGGGGCGGCAAGGGGUGGCGGGUCGAGAGGAGGGGCUCCAGUGGAGAGGGGCGAGUGGUAGAGGUGGCUGGCUAAAGAGAGGAGCGGGUCCUCUCGGUGCGGGUCCGUGACCACCACCACGUGGCGCUCCUCCGGGGUCGACGCAGCUCGAAGACAACGACGCCCGUGUCACUGCACGACCCCUCCUCGAUGCAGCCCUACGACGAGGACGCGGCUCGAUGACGACGACACCCGUGCUGUUGCUCGGCCCCUCGUCGACGACGACGCCCGCGCCGCAGAGAGGAAAGGGGUUUAGGGGUAGGCUGCGUAGGGAGAGGUCGGAGUUCGGCGACGGGACUCGAGGGGAUGUCCGGCCGCUGUGGUGAGACUAAUCCUCAGUGCGUACACCGGCCGUAUCGUAAGACCAGUGGUUGACGGGAGGUCUAUUCGCCUCACCCUCGAACGUCGUCGUCGAAACUGGGGAAGGGUUACUCGACGUCCAGCAUCUGCUCCAGGACCGGCUCUUUUUUGGAACGACCCAGGCUUCAACAGGUCUACGUACCACUUACUACCGACUCUAUACCACGCUUUACCUUAUCUUUCUUUUAAGAACACGGACGUCCCUCGCCUUGACUUACACUAGCCCCCCAGUGUCAGUUCUCUCACGAAGGAACCGCACGAUGGUUUCCCUUUACGGUGAUAGUACCUUCAUUUUCUCUACCGGUAAAUUAAUCCGAUCCGAGUGUUCAUCGCACACACUUCUACGUAGUCACUAAAAAAAUCGUCAAAUAUUACCAUGAUCGGGGUUCACGAACACCCACGUCACGGGAUUAACGUCUUUUUAUGGUACACGUUCACACCACGACCAAGAGAGGAAACCAUAACCAAGAGAGGAAACCGAGGAACAUUAUACACAACCUAUACACAAGUACCUAUACACAACCUAUAUAUACACAAGUACUGAUAACCAUUGUACACAACCUAUACACAAGUACCGAUAACCAUUGUACACAACCUAUACAC
rnacentral:rRNA from 1 species